GACGAACGCUGGCGGCGUGCUUAACACAUGCAAGUCGAACGGUGAAGGGGCCUGCUUUUGUGGGCCCUGGAUGAGUGGCGAACGGGUGAGUAACACGUGAGUAACCUGCCCCCUUCUUCUGGAUAACCGCAUGAAAGUGUGGCUAAUACGGGAUAUUCUGGGUCUGUCGCAUGAUGGGUCUGGGAAAGAUUGCGCCUUUGGGUGUUUUUGGUGGGGGAUGGGCUCGCGGCCUAUCAGCUUGUUGGUGGGGUGAUGGCCUACCAAGGCGGUGACGGGUAGCCGGCCUGAGAGGGUGGACGGUCACAAUGGGACUGAGACACGGCCCAGACUCCUACGGGAGGCAGCAGUGGGGAAUAUUGCACAAUGGGCGCAAGCCUGAUGCAGCGACGCCGCGUGAGGGAUGGAGGCCUUCGGGUUGUAAACCUCUUUCGCCAGUGAAGCAGGCCUGCUCCUUGUGGGUGGGUUGACGGUAGCUGGAUAAGAAGCGCCGGCUAACUACGUG
rnacentral:rRNA from 1 species